ensembl:lncRNA
AUGCAGUCCAUGACGUCUUUCCCUAGAACUUUAGUCUUCUUUGACCUGGAGACCACGGAAUUGGAACCCAGCAUUGGUGAUAUCAUCCAGCUGGCGGCCAUCAGCGGAGAUCACACCUUCAACGUGUACAUGAUGCCCGAGGUCGCCAUCGACAAAAAGACCACGGCGGUCACAGGCUUCGAGGUCAAAAAUGGCAAACUCAUCCAGGACUAUCUGUCAGUAUCUAAGAUGACCGUCACCUUGCACCAGGCCCUGACCUCCUUCAUCGCCUUCCUGCGGUCCUUAAAGCAGCCCGUGCUGCUGGCUGCGCACAACGCCAAACUAAUUCACCGACAUAAACUGGAAAAAGAGCUAUACAGGUGUGCCCUCACCGAUCAGUUCAAGCAGCUGGGCCCCAGAUUUUUGGACACCUGUCAACUCAGUAAGGCGCUCUUUCCGGGGUUAGGCAGCUAUAAACAAAAUAAUCUGUCGUACCCCUUCCUGGGAAAAAUCAACAUUGCCCACAAUGCAUUGAAGAAUGCUACGGCUCUGCAGGAGCUGUACAGUUGUUGGAAUCCCGACCAAGAGUCUGUGAUUCAAUAUUCAUUCUAGCAGCCGCUAGAUCUAUUUGGUGUUGUUGUUUAAUAAACCAAGCUCAAAAUCAACCAAUCUUUGUUAAUUGUCUCAUUGAAGAUCAAUGUAUGGCCCUAUGCCAUUGGUUAGUCUACCUGUAUUCCCCAUACCUUUAAGCCUACCAGUAGUGGGCAGCACUAUUUACUGUGGAGUUCAAAAUAAUAAAAAGUGAAUAUUCUUUUUGCAAAUGAUGAUAGACAGACUAAUAGUGCCACCUCAUUAUGCUUUUCAAUUAAGAAAUGUCGAAAUUAUUUCAGAAUAAUCAAUGUGGCAAAAAAAAGAAGGUUUUUCACUCAGGUGUGUGAGGAUUUCAGUGAAAAUGGAAGGCGUUUGAAGAGGAAGGCAUUUCAGUUGAAUAAGAAGGCAUUUUGGUUGAACAGGAAGACGUUUCAGUUGAACAGGAAGAUCAACCGCCUUCCUGUUCAACUGAAAUGCCUUCUUAUUCAACUGAAAUGCCUUCCUCUUCAAACGCCUUCCAUUUUCACUGAAAUCCUCACACACUUAUGAGUGAAAAUUGAGCGUAAUCAAAUAACACUGCUGAUGGCCGCCAGCUGGAUGAUGCCACAUCGCUUGGUGUCUGAGAGGGGAGGGGAGGGGUGUGAGUGAGCGAGCGUGUGUGAGAGGACAUUUUUCAUCUCUCUCUCUGUCAACGACAGUGUUACCCUUUGCGUUUCAUUUGAUAAAAAUGACAGUGUUACCCCUUAUGUUUUUUUUCAUUACGACCAUUAAAAAACAACAGUGUUACCCCUUAUGUUUUUUUUCAUGACGACCAAUAAAAAAACAACAGUGUUACCCCUUAUGUUUUUAUUCAUGACGACCAAUAAAAAACAACAGUGUUACCCCUUAUGUUUUUUUUCAUUACGACCAUUAAAAAACAACAGUGUUACCCCUUAUGUUUUUUUUCAUGACGACCAAUAAAAAAACAACAGCGUUACCCCUUAUGUUUUUUUUCUUGAUGACCAAUAAAAAACGACAGUGUUACCCCUUAUGUUUUUUUCAUGACGACCAAUAAAAAACAACAGUGUUACCCCUUUUUAUUUUUUCAUGACGAGUCCAUUAAAAAACAACAGUGUUACCCCUUAUGUUUUUUUUCAUGACGACCAAUAAAAAAACAACAGUGUUACCCAUUAUGUUUUUUUUCAUGACGACCAAUAAAAAACGACAUUGUCACCCCUCAUGUUUCAUUUGAUAAAAACGACAGUGUUACCCCCUAUGUUUUAAUUGAUCAAUAUUGACAGUGUUACCCCUUAUAUUUUUUUUCAUGACGACCAAUAAAAAACGACAGUGUUACCCCUCAUGUUUCAUUUGAUAAAAACGACAGUGUUACACCUUGUGUUUUUUUUCAUGACGACCAAAGGAAAACAACAGUGUUACCCCUUAUGUCUUUUUUCAUGACGACCAAUAAAAAACGAGUGUUACCCCUUAUGGUUUUUUUCAUGACGACGAAAGAAAAACCAGUGUCACCCCUCAUGUUUCAUUUGAUAAAAACGACAGUGUUACCCCCUACGUUUUAAUUGAUAAACGUCGACAGCGUUACCCCUUAUGUUUUUUUAUGACGACCGAUAAAAAACGACAGUGUUACCCCUCAUGUUUCAUUUGAUAAAAACGACAGUGUUACCCCUUGUGUUUUUUUCCCAUGAUGAGUGAUGAAAAACAACAGUGUUACCCCUUAUAUUUUCUUUGACAAGGACAAUUUCUUUUCUUUUCAAAUAUGUUUUUUUUCAUGACGACCAAUAAAAAACAACAGUGUUACCCCUUAUGUUUUUAUUCAUGACGACCAAUAAAAAACAACAGUGUUACCCCUUAUGUUUUUUUUCAUUACGACCAUUAAAAAACAACAGUGUUACCCCUUUUGUUUUUUUCCAUGACGAACAAUAAAAAAACAACAGUGUUACCCAUUAUGUUUUUUUUCAUGACGACCAAUAAAAAACGACAUUGUCACCCCUCAUGUUUCAUUUGAUAAAAACGACAGUGUUACCCCCUAUGUUUUAAUUUAUCAAUAUUGACAGUGUUACCCCUUAUAUUUUUUUCAUGACGACCAAUAAAAAACGACAGUGUUACCCCUCAUGUUUCAUUUGAUAAAAACGACAGUGUUACACCUUGUGUUUUUUUUCAUGACGACCAAAGGAAAACAACAGUGUUACCCCUUAUGUUUUUUUUCAUGACGACCAAUAAAAAACAACAGUGUUACCCCUUAUGUUUUUUUUCAUGACGACCAAUAAAAAACGACAGUGUUACCCCCUAUGUUUUAUUUGAUAAAAUCAACAGUGUUACCCCUUAUGUUUUUUUUCAUGACGACCAAUAAAAAACAACAGUGUUACCCUUUAUGUUUUUUUUCAUGACGACCAAUAAAAAAACAACAGUGUUACCCCUUAUGUUUUUUUUCAUGACGACCAAUAAAAAACGACAGUGUUACCCCUUAUGUUUUUUUUCAUGACGACCAUUAAAAAACAACAGUGUUACCCCUUAUGUUUUUUCAUGACGACCAAAGAAAAACAACAGUGUUACCCCUUAUGGUUUUUUUCAUGACGACCAAAGUAAAAUGACAGUGUCACCCCUCAUGUUUCAUUUGAUAAAAACGACAGUUUUUUAAUGGAUAAAUAUCGACAGUGUUACCCCUUAUGUUUUUUUCAUGACUACCGAUAAAAAACAACAGUGUUACCCCUUAUGUUUCAUUUGAUAAAAACGACAGUGUUACCCCCUAUGUUUUAAUUGAUCAAUAUUGACAGUGUUACCCCUUAUAUUUUUUUUCACGACGACCAAUAAAAAACAACAGUGUUACCCCUUAUGUUUUUUCAUGACGACCAAAGAAAAACAACAGUGUUACCCCUUAUGGUUUUUUUCAUGACGACCAAAGUAAAACGACAGUGUCACCCCUCAUGUUUCAUUUGAUAAAAACGACAGUUUUUUAAUGGAUAAAUAUCGACAGUGUUACCCCUUAUGUUUUUUUCAUGACUACCGAUAAAAAACAACAGUGUUACCCCUUAUGUUUCAUUUGCUAAAAACGAGUGUUACCCCUUGUGUUUUUUUUCAUGACAACCAAAGAAAAUCAACAGUGUUACCCCCUAUGUUUUAAUGUAUAUCGACAGAGUUACCCCUUAUGUUUUUUUCAUGACGACCGAUAAAAAACAACAGUGUUACCCCUUAUGUUUCAUUUGAUAAAAACGACAGUGUUACCCCUUGUGUUUUUUUUCAUGACAACCAAAGAAAAUCAACAGUGUUACCCCCUAUGUUUAAUUUGAUGAAUAUCGACAGUGUUAACCCUUAUGUUUAUUUCAUGACGGCCGAUAUAAAAACGACAGUUACCCCUCAGGUUUUUUCCAUGUUGACCAAUAAAAAAUGACAGUCGUACCCGUCAAUGUUUUUGCGUGGAUCCGAACUUGUGCUAUUUAGAGUGUUAAACUCCGAACUUAUCAAUGCACCAACAAGACACCGGAUAUAGUCAUCACAAUGGUUAUACUUGACUUUAUAAUUUGCAUGAAAUAGAAAUACGAGCCUUCCAAUAGAGGAAAUCGACCGGACUUCAACCCCGGUCUCCAUGGGGUUAGCACACAGCUCUCUCCACUACCCACUGAGAAUUGUAGGUUUUUUAUGUCUGAGGUUUGUAUGAUGCAAUAGACAUGAUAGCAUUACGUUUAAAAUGAAAGAUAUUGUGUUUUCCACAGAAAUUGAGCCGCGGUCUCCAGUGGGUUAGGCAGAGUGCACUCCACUGCACCACUGAAGCGAUGACAAUACACAAUAAUCAAUCAUCAAUAAAGAGGAUAUACAUGACAUUAAAAUGCAUGUGUGUAUUUCUAUUAUUUCCCUUAUGUUUUUUUUCAUGACGACCAAUAAAAAACAAGUGUUACCCCUUAUGUCUUUUUUCAUGACGACCAAUAAAAAACAACAGUGUUACCCCUUGUGUCUUUUUUCAUGACGACCAAUAAAAAACAACAGUGUUACCCCUUAUGUUUUUUUUUUAUGACGACCAAAGAAAAACCAGUGUCACCCCUCAUGUUUCAUUUGAUAAAAACGACAGUGUUACCCCCUAUGUUUUAAUUGAUAAACGUCGACAGCGUUACCCCUUAUGUUUUUUCAUGACGACCGAUAAAAAACGUCAGUGUUACCCCUCAUGUUUCAUUUGAUAAAAACGACAGUGUUACCCCUUGUGUUUUUUUUCAUGAGGACCAAAGGAAAACAACAGUGUCACCCCCUAUGUUUUAUUUGACAAAUAUCAACAGUGUUACCCCUUAUAUUUAUUUCAUGACGGCCGAUAAAAAAUGAGUUACCCCUCCGGUUUUUUCCAUGUUGACCAAUAAAUAACGACAGUGGCACCCCUGUCAACGUUUUUGCGGGGACCCGUACAUGAGCUGUUUAGAGUGCUAACCUCCGAACUUAACAAUGCACCAUCAAGACACCAGAUAAAGUCAUCACAAAGGUUAUACUUGACUUUAUAAUUUGCAUGAAAUAGUGAUAAGAGUCUUCCAACAGAAGACAUCAAACGGACUUGAACCCCGCUCUCCAGGGGGUUAGCUAACAGCUCUCUCCACAUCCCACUGAGAUUUCUAAUUGAAUUAUGUCUGAGGUUAUAUAUGUGUUUUCCACAGAAAUUGAGCCGUGCUCUCCAAUCGGUUAGGCAGGGUGCACUCCACUGCACCACUGAGGCGAUAACAAUACACAAUAAUCAAUCAUCAAUAAAGAGGAUAUACGUGACAUUAAAAUGUAUGUAAUGUGUAUUUCUAUUGUUGUUUUCUUUCAUGACGACCAAUAAUAAACGACAGUGUUACCC